rnacentral:sRNA from 1 species
AUGAUGUCUACAAAAAUGUUUUUUAAG